CCUACGGGUGGCAGCAGUAGGGAAUAUUGCUCAAUGGGGGAAACUCUGAAGCAGCGACGCCGCGUGGAGGAUGAAGGUUUUCGGAUUGUAAACUCCUGUUGUUAGGGAAGAUAAUGACGGUAUCCAACGAAUAAGCACCGGCUAACUCCGUGCCAGCAGCCGCGGUAAUACGGAGGGUGCAAGCGUUACUCGGAAUCACUGGGCGUAAAGGGCGCGUAGGCGGGAUAGCAAGUCAGAUGUGAAAUCCUAUGGCUUAACCAUAGAACUGCAUUUGAAACUGUUAUUCUAGAGUAUAGGAGAGGUAGGUGGAAUUCUUGGUGUAGGGGUAAAAUCCGUAGAGAUCAGGAGGAAUACUAGUUGCGAAGGCGACCUGCUAGAACAUAACUGACGCUGAUGCGCGAAAGCGUGGGGAGCAAACAGGAUUAGAUACCCCAGUAGUC
rnacentral:rRNA from 1 species